GGCGGACGGGUGAGUAACGCGUGGGUAACCUGCCUCGUACAGGGGGAUAACAGUUGGAAACGGCUGCUAAUACCGCAUAAGCGCACAGUACCGCAUGGUACCGUGUGAAAAACUCCGGUGGUAUGAGAUGGACCCGCGUCUGAUUAGCUAGUUGGUGGGGUAACGGCCUACCAAGGCGACGAUCAGUAGCCGACCUGAGAGGGUGACCGGCCACAUUGGGACUGAGACACGGCCCAA
rnacentral:rRNA from 1 species